GGGAUAAUAGUUAAUUAUAACAUUUAAUUUGCACUUAAAAAGUAUUGACUUAUCAAUUUAUCUU
rnacentral:tRNA from 1 species